CUUUGUGUGUGUGCACAGCAUGGUUAUGGGACUGCAGCAUCCUCCGUGCUGCCCCCGGCAGCAGGCUCACAUGGUGUCCUGGGCUUAUCCAACAGGCCUGCAGACAUGGCAGAGCUCGUGGCUGCUUCAUGGGGAUGAGGUGGGGCUGAGGUGGGGGGAAACGCUCGGGUAAAAAGCUCCGGGAUUUGGCACGGCAGAAGGAAAGAACAACAGCUGGCAGAGAAAGCGAGCGGAGGUUGGAGUUUUCGUUAAUUAACUUCCUCCUCCGCCCGUGCUUUCACCGUCGCCGACACGGCUUUGUGAGCAGCGAAAGCCCGGCAGGAAUUCAGAGCGGGGCAAGGCGGGCCCAGCAGCGCGAGGCGCGGCGCCGCCAAC
rnacentral:lncRNA from 1 species